rnacentral:tRNA from 1 species
GGGACGUUAGCUCAGUUGGUUUAGAGCACAGCCUUGACAGGGCUGGGGUCACUGGUUCGAAUCCAGUACGUCCCA